rnacentral:rRNA from 1 species
ACUACGGGCGGCAGCAGUCGAGAAUCAUUCACAAUGGGGGAAACCCUGAUGGUGCGACGCCGCGUGGGGGAAUGAAGGUCUUCGGAUUGUAGACCCCUGUCAUGUGGGAGCAAAUUAAAAAGAUAGUACCACAAGAGGAAGAGACGGCUAACUCUGUGCCAGCAGCCGCGGUAAUACAGAGGUCUCAAGCGUUGUUCGGAAUCACUGGGCGUAAAGCGUGCGGAGGCUGUUUCGUAAGUCGUGUGUGAAAGGCGCGGGCUCAACCCGCGGACGGCACAUGAUACUGCGAGACUAGAGUAAUGGAGGGGGAACCGGAAUGCUCGGUGUAGCAGUGAAAUGCGUAGAUAUCGAGAGGAACACUCGUGGCGAAGGCGGGUUCCUGGACAUUAACUGACGCUGAGGCACGAAGGCCAGGGGAGCGAAAGGGAUUAGAUACCCUUGUAGUC